rnacentral:rRNA from 1 species
UGGGGAAUAUUGCGCAAUGGGGGAAACCCUGACGCAGCAACGCCGCGUGAGUGAGGAAGGACUUCGGUCUGUAAAGCUCUGUUAAUGUGGAAAAAUGGCAGUUGGUCUAAUAGGCCGAUUGUUUGAUGGUACACAUAGAGGAAGCACCGGCUAACUUCGUGCCAGCAGCCGCGGUAAUACGAAGGGUGCAAGCGUUGUUCGGAUUUAUUGGGCGUAAAGCGCGCGUAGGCGGACCUGUAAGUCAGAUGUGAAAUCUCGGGGCUCAACCUCGAAACUGCGUCUGAAACUGCAGGUCUAGAAUCUUGGAGGGGGAAGGGGAAUUUCGCAUGUAGGGGUAAAAUCCGUAGAUAUGCGAAGGAACACCAGAGGCGAAGGCGCCUUCCUGGACAAGUAUUGACGCUGAGGCGCGAAAGCGUGGGGAUCAAACAGG